UACGAAGGGGGCUAGCGUUGUUCGGAAUUACUGGGCGUAAAGCGCGUGUAGGCGGCUCGGUAAGUCUGCUGUGAAAGUCCAGGGCUCAACCCUGGAAUGCCGGUGGAUACUGUCGAGCUCGAGUCCGGAAGAGGCGAGUGGAAUUCCUGGUGUAGCGGUGAAAUGCGCAGAUAUCAGGAGGAACACCAAUGGCGAAGGCAGCUCGCUGGGACGGUACUGACGCUGAGACGCGAAAGCGUGGGGAGCAAACAGG
rnacentral:rRNA from 1 species